rnacentral:rRNA from 1 species
CUUACACAUGCAAGUCGAACGGUAACAGGUCUUCGGAUGCUGACGAGUGGCGAACGGGUGAGUAAUACAUCGGAACGUGCCCAGUAAUGGGGGAUAGCUCGGCGAAAGCCGGAUUAAUACCGCAUACGCCCUGAGGGGGAAAGUGGGGGAUCGCAAGACCUCACGUUAUUGGAGCGGCCGAUGGCUGAUUAGCUAGUUGGUAGGGUAAAGGCCUACCAAGGCGACGAUCAGUAGCUGGUCUGAGAGGACGAUCAGCCACACUGGGACUGAGACACGGCCCAGACUCCUACGGGAGGCAGCAGUGGGGAAUUUUGGACAAUGGGGGAAACCCUGAUCCAGCAAUGCCGCGUGUGCGAAGAAGGCCUUCGGGUUGUAAAGCACUUUUGUCAGGGAAGAAAUCCUUUGGGCUAAUACCCUAGGGGGAUGACGGUACCUGAAGAAUAAGCACCGGCUAACUACGUGCCAGCAGCCGCGGUAAUACGUAGGGUGCAAGCGUUAAUCGGAAUUACUGGGCGUAAAGCGUGCGCAGGCGGCUGUGUAAGACAGGUGUGAAAUCCCCGGGCUUAACCUGGGAAAUGCAUUUGUGACUGCACGACUAGAGUGUGUCAGAGGGGGGUGGAAUUCCACGUGUAGCAGUGAAAUGCGUAGAUAUGUGGAGGAACACCAAUGGCGAAGGCAGCCCCCUGGGAUAACACUGACGCUCAUGCACGAAAGCGUGGGGAGCA